GAGGCGUUUGAGAGAACCGUGGUUAAGGAACUCGGCAAAUUGACACCGUAACUUCGGGAUAAGGUGUGCCACUGAGGGUGAAGAGCCUUGCGCUCGUAAGCCUUCGGGGGUUGCAACAAAGAGGCGGUAGCGACUGUUUACCAAAAACACAGGCCUGUGCGAAGCCGUAAGGCGACGUAUACGGGUUGACGCCUGCCCGGUGCCGGAAGGUUAAGGGGAGUGGUCAGCGAAAGCGAAGCUGCGAACCGAAGCCCCGGUAAACGGCGGCCGUAACAAUAACGGUCCUAAGGUAGCGAAAUUCCUUGUCGGGUAAGUUCCGACCUGCACGAAUGGCGUAACGACUUCCGCGCUGUCUCGAUCACGGUCUCAGCGAAAUUGACAUUGGGGUGAAGAUGCCCCAUACCCGCAGCAAGACGGAAAGACCCUGUGAACCUUUACUCUAACUUGGCAGCGACAUUCGGUUCAGCUUGUGUAGGAUAGGUGGGAGACGAUGAAGCGGGGGCGCCAGCCUUCGUGGAGUCAACGUUGAAAUACCACCCUGGUUGUGCUGGAUGUCUAACCCGGCCCUUGUGGCGGGGACACUGCCUGGCGGGGAGUUUGACUGGGGCGGUCGCCUCCCAAACAGUAACGGAGGCGCGCAAAGAUUCCCUCAGCGUGAUCGGAAACCACGCGCAGAGUGCAAAGGCAGAAGGGAGUUUGACUGCAAGAUCGACAGAUCGAGCAGGUGCGAAAGCAGGCCUUAGUGAUCCGGCGGUCCCACAUGGGAGGGCCGUCGCUCAUCGGAUAAAAGGUACUCCGGGGAUAACAGGCUUAUCACGCCCAAGAGUUCACAUCGACGGCGUGGUUUGGCACCUCGAUGUCGGCUCAUCGCAUCCUGGGGCUGGAGCAGGUCCCAAGGGUUUGGCUGUUCGCCAAUUAAAGCGGUACGCGAGCUGGGUUCAAAACGUCGUGAGACAGUUUGGUCCCUAUCUGCUGUGGGCGCAGGAGAGUUGAGAGACGCUGUCCUUAGUACGAGAGGACCGGGAUGGACGUUCCUCUGGUGUUCCGGUUGUCGCGCCAGCGGCAUAGCCGGAUAACCAUGAACGGAAGGGAUAACCGCUGAAAGCAUCUAAGUGGGAAGCCCAUCUCCAGAUAAACUCUCCCUUGAGGGCCCAGAAAGACCAUCUGGUUGAUAGGCGGGGCGUAUAAACGCAGCAAUGCGUGCGCGGACCCGUACUAAUCGCCCGAACGACUUGACCCU
rnacentral:rRNA from 1 species